rnacentral:lncRNA from 1 species
GUACUAUUGUUUAUUUUACAUGUGGUGGAGUGACACGAGAUUGGGAUCACCACAAUGAACCGAAACAGAUUCACCUUAGCUUUGAAUGAGGGUCGUCUUAUAUACAUAACGAUUUGGAAGCUCCUUAAUAAUAAAAGGGAGAUUAUUUUCUCUAAGGUGAUAGGACUAACACAACCUCCAUUAGCAUGCCUCGGCAAAGCUUAUUAUGAUAUAUUGUUAAUGAAAAUGUCAAAGUAGCACUCUCUUUCCUUUACUCGCCCCUGGCGCCACCGCUAACCACUAUUAUCAUAUAUAACUAGAUCACGUACAGAGUUUAUUACACUUAUAAUUAGAUCACGUACGCAGUUUACACUAGAAUAAAUCUACGGUUCUGUUCAGUAUGAGCAAUAGAAGUAGAUGGACUUAGAGUAGAAACUUAUGACUAGGUCCCAUGACCAGAGUUAUGUGGAUGACUGUACAAGAAGGAUACGAUAAAUGGGCGACGUUUUUCGACCCUGGAAGAACAAACUGACAACAUCCGCUCCAUCUUUGAGUGGGAUCUGGAUGGUAUCGAACUAGACAUGCAAACGCGGCGGAUUGGGAAGUAUCUAAAUCUGAUCCAUAAUCCUAAUAGCCGCUUUUGGCUACUCGUAGUUGAUCAACUAACCAAACUUUUCCCCUGAAUAAAAAAGCAAGUGUAGGUAGUAAGUAUCUAAUCUAAUAUGUCCACGAACUCAGUAGAAUCUCCGAAACCCACCUUAAUCCAUUUUAUAAGGAAUCUGUCUCCUUCCGUAAUCCAUUCCUCCAUCCCACACUCUUCUUAUAGUUAUGAGUGAAUCUGAAUCAAAAAAAUAUAUACUAUAUCGAAGACAAAGAGAAGACAUUAGGGAGCGGAGAGAGAAGAGAGCGGUUGUUGGAACAGCAAGCCCUACUUCCUUCACUGGGACACUGGCACCAAAUAAAAACAAAACUAGACUGCCCGAACAACAAGUCCUGCCCCUUCCUCCGAGAUCUGCACGUUGAACAAACAAAGGCACUCCCCCUCAUCCGAAAAAAACGAGUAUUAUUUCUUAGCUGGCAACAAAGAAAUGCCUAGCAGAAGAAAGUAGUUAUUCUUGCAUCUCUGCUACUAGGAAAGUAAGUCAUUGACAAAGGACCCAACCCUUUUGAAUUCCCUGAGCGAGACCUAAGAUCGGAAUGAACAGCAGUCGAAACCCUGAGCCCAUCGUGUCUGCCAGCUAUGCAAUGGCUCUACUUGAGAUUCCGUAGGGAGAGCAGUCGCUAACCUUUCCUUCGGUCAAUCACGAGAAAUUUGCGAAUCGAAUCCAUUGUUAUUAGAGUGAUCAACUAUAUACGCUAAUUAUUCAAACAGAUGCUCUCCGAUGGAAAUGAACCAUGAGAGACUAAGCCCUGCCGAUAGCAGUAGAAGCGUUAGCCAGAGAGUGACCUUUUAAUUGACACCCACUAGUGGUCAGUUUCUACUUCCAAGUUGACUGGAACAGGUACCACAUUUACCAUAGGAUAUGCUUAUCUGACUAGGUCCCUCGAGUCAUCUCUGCCACAUGGAAUUGCUUAUGAGUUGUUCUUAAAUGCUCUUUGUCGGUGUCAAAACUGGCGGAUCUCGGGUAGGGGGUCCCGAACUGUGUGUCUAGGCGGAUGGUAAUAGGAGACAAGGGACACGAUGUUUUACCCAGGUUCGGGCCCUCUUGAUGGAGGUAAAACCCUACGUCCUGCUUGAUUGAUAUUGAUGAUGUGGGUAUUACAAGAGUAGAUCUACCACGAGAUCAAGGAGGCUAAACCCUAGAAGCUAGCCUAUGGUAUGAUUGUUGUUCGUCCUAUGGACUAAAGCCAUCCGGUUUAUAUAGACACCGGAGAGGGCUAGGGUUACACAGAGUCGGUUACAAUGGUAGGGGAUCUACAUAUCCGUAUUGCCAAGCUUGCCUUCCACGCCAAGGAAAGUCCCAUUCGGACACGGGACGAAGUCUUCAAUCUUGUAUCUUCAUAGUCUUGGAGUCCGUCCGAUGAUGAUAGUUCGGCUAUCCGGACACCCCCUAGUCCAGGACUCCCUCAGUAGCCCCUGAACCAGGCUUCAAUGACGACGAGUCCGGCGCGCAUAUUGUCUUCGGCAUUGCAAGGCGGGUUCCUCCUCCGAAUAAUUUAUAGAAGAUUGUGAACACCAGGAUAGUGUCCGGCUCUGCAAAAUAAAUUCCACAUACCACCGUAGAGAGAAUAAUACUUACACAAGUUCAAUCUGCUGACGUAUUUUGUGGCGUGACGUCACACCACUACCAAGCCUUUACUCGAAUUGUUUUUAUUGCACCACCUCAGCGCGUUUAGCGAAGCGGUUUCCUUGGCACGCCUUGUCGAAGCAGAGAUCAUGUUCCCCUUAUUCUGGGAUUCCCAUGAAUACGGACGUGGGUAACCCAACCGCGCCAUUGAUUGCGGCGCUUGGGAGAUAAGCGAGUUUUAUCAGGCCGGUGGGGACGCAUGGUUUUGUCCGCCCAUAUAAGGGGAUAAAGAUCCAACCCUUUUACCUACGCCUUCUUCCUCCUUUGCUUAUCCAUCUCCGCGAACUCGAGCUCCAGCGCCCAAGUCCGCACAUCUCACCUCAACCUUCUCCAACUAUGUCCGGAGCGGGAUGCAAGUGGAUGGCCUCCUCCGUUACGAAGGGGCACAUCCAGAAGCUACGCAGCGCCGGAUAUCUGUCCAGCGACAUCGCGCACCGGCUCCCCGACGAGGGGGAGCUCAUCCCCACCCCUAGGCCCCAUGAGAGGGUAGUAUUUGUUUCCCAUUUCCUCCGCGGACUGGGCUUCCCACUCCAUCCCUUUGUCCGGGGGCUCAUGUUCUACUACGGCCUGGAUUUCCAUGAUCUGGCCCCGACUUUCAUCCUCAACAUCUCGGUGUUUAUUGUCGUGUGUGAGGCCUUCCUCUGCAUCCAGCCCCACUUUGGCUUGUGGCUCAAGACCUUCAAUGUCAAGCCGAAGGUUGUGAAGGGCAGCCAAGUGGAGUGCGGAGGCGCCAUGGUGGGCAAGAUGCCCAACGUUACAUGGCUCGAGGGCACCUUCGUGGAAACCAUUAAUGGGUGGCAAUCGGGGUGGUUCUACAUCACCGAGCCGCGUGACCCUGAAUGGGCAGCGGCCCCCAAAUUCAGAUCCGGCAUCCCCAUACGACUCACCUCCUGGAAAGAGAGUGGCCGGACAUGGGGUGAUUCGGAGGAGCUGACCGGACUUCAAGCCUGCAUCCAAAAGCUAGUGAACAAGAAGCUCAAGCUUGUCAACGUAGUCCAGGUCAUGCUCAUCCGCCGGAUUCUCCCGUGCCAACAACGGGACUUCAAUAUGUGGGAGUUCGAUCCGGUGCAACACCAAACUUUGAGCGGGCUCUUCGACAGUACGUACGAAGAGGCCUGGAGGGUGCAGUUUAAGGGCGCUGAGGCUCCCGCAUCCGCUACCGAAGAUCGCGGAUUCAGCUCGCAGCGUCCGGCUAGCGAGGUAAGCGAUUUUGCCCUUUACGGGACACUUGUUUUCCAUAGUUUGACUCUAUGCGGGAUCUAAACUCCCCCUCCUUUGACAUGACUGGUUGAAGAAGGCCGAAGAGACUAUCUGUCCGGCCACAUUGCCAGAAGACCCAGCGGACGCCCGCUUAACGGGGCUGCUGGCUCCGGCACCCCACGUGGUGCCGGAGAAGAAGGCCAAGAAGAAGGCCACGGGCACUCGAAAGAGUUCCCGUUUUCAGGUGUCAUCGGAUGAUGACUCCGAGGCAGACUCCUCCCACAAAGGCGAGGAGGAGAAGAAGGAGGCCUCUCCCCCAGCGGGGGGAGGGAAGAAAAGGAAGGCCUCCCUAACGAGGGAGGCCGAAGGGUCCAAGAAGGGAAGGACUCUUCCCUCGGACUGCUCUGCCAAUGCUGGCGACGACGACGAGGAUUGGCCUCCAAGGGCCAAGCCCCUGGCGAGAUCGUAAGUAUCUGGACUCCCGAAAUAACUUCAUGAUUUUUCUUUUCGCCACAUGGUGUCUUUCUAACGCCGCAUAAAACCCUGCAGUCCGCCCAAGGAUGAUCUUCCCGCUUCGUCGAGCGGGUCCUUGGGUGCAUCGGAUAUGGAUUCUCUUCCGACCGCCUCCACCCCCCGUAAUACGGACGAUGCCAAGGUGGGACCCCGGGAAGGGACCCGCCAGGAGGAGGAGGCCCCGGAGGUGCCGCAGGGCAACCUCCCGGACUUUGCACCGGAGUCCGCCCCAGAACCUGUAGUGGCUUCGGAGUCUGGCGGGCGGCCCCUUCGUAAGAAGGGCAAGACCGUGACGCCGGCGGCCUCCGUCCAACCGGAGGCACCGGAUAGCUUGCUGGAUGCGCUCAACGGCACCUCCAUCGAAGAGGAACACCGCACUGUCAUGAGUGCGGUGAUUCAGAAGGUUCAGCUCGCCAAGAGCGGGCUGAUCAAAGCCUGCAGCAGCCUUCUAACAUGCUUUGAGGUAAGAAUUUUGAUAUAUGUAAAAUAGUACCACAUAGACAGUAGCCCCUGAUGCUCAGUUCGGUAUUCGGAAAGAAAAGCCGGACUGAGGAUCUAAAAAGAUAUACGCAGGAGUCAUAAAAAAUAUGUCAAUAUGGGAUUGCAGGCUAUGAUGCUGACCUCUGCCGCACUGACUGCGGAGGUCAAUACUUUGAAGCAAAGCCUCGAGCGGUCCGAGAACGAGCUCGGCCAUGCCAAGAAGCAGCUCGAGGAUAAGGAAGGUGAGUAACACCUUAUUAAAAUUGUACCUUACGGCAAAGGAUUUGGUUGCAAGAAGAAUGACAAGGAUAACAUGGGUAUUGCAGGGGCCACGAAGGAGGUGGCGACCCUGAAGGAGGCGGUGUCCGCGGCCGAACGUAAUGCAGCCGCGAAGUGCACCGAGCGAGAGAAGCAGGAGGCGCAGGUGGCGGAGGUACAGCAAGAGCUCCAGGCUCUCGUGGAAAAACAUGAGAGUUUGGAGCGUGACUCGAAGACUCGAGAGUCCGAGCUUGCAUCGGCUCUUGAGAGUGCCAAAGCUGCUAAGGCCGAAGCCUACAAGGCCCUCCAGGAAAUUGAGGUGUUAAAGAAAAUAGCGGCGGGUAAGGCAUUUUUCAUGCAAAGUAAGCAUGUGAGUGUGAAUUACCUAUCACUUACUCGAAUUCGGAGCUCUCCAGGAGCAUUCGCAGAUCUGCCCCACAGCGUGUCCAAUGCUGCAGCUUUCUAUAGGGCCGAGGAGGGGAGCUCGACGGAGAAGGUCUUCUGGUCUCAAUAUGCUGAGGCCGGACAUCCGGUUCCCCUUAGCGACCAGCUGAAGCAGCUGGUCGAGCUCCACAAGGUGGCCGAACAGGCCAUGAAGGGCCUCAUAGUUCGGCUGUGGCCUAAGGAGGCCAUGCCUUGGAGCUACUUCGGCCUGGUGUGGCGGCUGGUGGAUGCGUGUCCAUGGGUUGAAGUCAUCAAGCACUCCGCUUGCAUUGAAGGUGCCCGUCGGGCCCUUGCCCGCGCAAAGGUGCAAUGGGGCAAGAUGGAUGCUGAGAAGCUUCUGACGGACGCGCCACCGCCGGGCAAGGAGUAUCGCACGCCCGAGAUGUAUUAUAAGAGUGUCCUAAAGGGUGCCUGCAUUAUUGCGGGUGAGUGAACCAAAUAUGUAAUAUUUGAGUAGACUCGCAUUUUGUUAUCCUGUGCGCUGAAAACUUUGUUCAUAUGCGCUAAGCAACACUUGUUAAUUUAAAAUAUUACCUUCUGUGCGGCCGUUUAUCAAAUCUGAGAGAUGGCAAGUCGUCGGCUUCAGCCCCCAUGCCACGAGUGCUGGGGUGCUCGGGAUAAAUUUGAGCACUCUUGUUCCCAUUUUUGGGUCCAUCUAGGGAGGCGCUCAACACAACGAACAAGGCAACCAGACUUAUAAUGCUUGAAAACUCUCACUUAGCCAUAGAAUUCUAUAAUUUUAAAUUUCGGCGAAGCCCCUAGUGUUCGGAAGGCCGAAUUUGGGGCACUAUCCACGCCUGGGCCGGACAAAGCCAGUUCCUCACUCUAAGCGGCAUAAGUCUUUAGGGACUCGAAAAAACCUCUCGAACAGCGACCGGCUCUCGCCUCAUCAUGACGGUCAGUUUUAGCUUUCUCCACUGAGGCGCUCGCCCAGCUAAACUGGGGCGCAAUCGUAGUGGUUCUCCCAGUGCUACCUUAGCCGAUACAACGGAACAUAAGGUACCAAAACAUGGGAGCCGGGCAAACCCAACUAUUGACCCAAGACAUGAUUCGGAGCCGAUGCAUAUAAUGCUAUAAGUUCGGGGUGCCGCACUUGUGAAAGUGUUCAGACUUAUCACACCAUGAUGCGGGAAGCAUAAGCCCCUGGUGUAUUUAGCCGUAUCAAAGUGUACAGAUGCAACAUGUCAUAUAUGUAUAAGAAAGAAAUGCAAUUAUAAGAAAAAAGGUGCUGCAUUGUUUAUUCAAGAAAUACUGCUGUGAAUGCAGAACGAUACAAAUGGUGCGAUAAGCAAGGGAUGGGACUAUUAAACAUGUCCCCCUCCAGGGGUAGGCUGCGGAAUGGUGUAUAAAACAGAUUUAAUGCUCGUAAUGGAGAAAACCUGGAUAUUCGUUGUAGCCUUUCUCCUUCCCUGGCUGUUGCAUCGUGAGUUCGGCAGGUCUACUGCCAGACAGGGCCUCUGAUGAACGGAGUCCUGUGGGUAAAAAGAGAAAGAGAAAAAAAAAGAACGACACACUUGAGAGCCCCUGGUGUGGUUAAGCCGCAUUCUGGGCCUAUCGUGGUUGUGCCCUCCCCCCAUGCCCAUGGUAUCUCCAGAGCGUAAUGAUGUACGCGAAGGACCCAUCUUGAAAUUUUGCAGGGGCUGAGGUUGGGGCCGCAUUGCUACGCGUGCUCGGAACGUGCCAGGUGGUCUUGUUGUAGGUUACUCCGGGCGCGUUUAGCCGUGUCUGGUCGCUUAACGGCUGGACUCGAGAAUUGCCUUAAGAGGCUGCACUGUACUUCUGCUGCGAGAGCCGCUGUAUGUUCCUCCGUUCGGAGAGAGCGUUCAGUGUUUCCGUUGACCGUGAUGACUCCUCGAGGGCCUGGCAUCUUGAGCUUGAGGUAUGCGUAGUGCGGUACCGCGUUGAACUUUGCAAACGCGGUACAUCCGAGCAGAGCAUGAUAGCCGCUGCGGAACGGAACUAUGUCGAAGAUUUACUCCUUGCUUCGGAAGUUAUCCGGGGAUCCGAAGACCACUUCCAGUGUAACUGAGCCUGUACAAUUGGCCUCUACACCUGGUAUGACGCCUUUAAAGGUCGUCUUUGUAGGUUUAAUCCUUGAGGGGUCUAUGUCCAUUUUGCGCACUGUAUCCUGAUAAAGCAGGUUCAGGCUGCUGCCGCCGUCCAUCAGGACUCUGAUGAGGUGAAAUCCAUCGAUGAUUGGGUCUAAAACCAAUGCGGCGAAUCUGCCAUGGCGGAUGCUGGUGGGGUGGUCCCUUCGAUCAAAAGUGAUCGGGCAGGAGGACCAUGGAUUGAACUUCGGGGCGACUAGCUCCAUCGCGUACACAUCCUUGAGUGCACGCUUCCGCUCACUUUUGGGUAUGUGGGUUGCGUAUAUCAUGUUCACCGUCCGCACUUGUGGGGGGAAACCCUUCUGUCCUCUAUUGUUCGGCGGUCGGGUCUCUUCCUCGUCAUCGCUAUGCAGCCCCUUGUCGUUGUGUUCGGCAAUUAAUUUGCCUGCCUGCUUGAAUACCCAACAGUCCCUGUUGGUGUGGUUAGCUGGCUUUUUGGGGGUGCCGUGUAUUUGGCACGAGCGUUCGAGUAUUCGGUCCAAAUUGGACGGACCCGGAGUAGUUCUUUUGAAUGGCUUUUUCCGCUGACCGGGUUUAGAGCCUCUGAAUCCGGCAUUGACUGCCGUAUCCUCACUAUUGUCGCUGUUAAUGCAGCGUUUGUUUUUGUUGUGACGCGACCUACCAUUGCGGUCCUUGAUAUCCGGACUGCCAAAUUUUUUGCUGAGGUUGUUGCUGCGGGCUAGCCAGCUGUCCUCACCCGCGCAGAAGCGGGCCAUGAGUGAUGUGAGGGCUGCCAUGGAUUUCGGCUUUUCCUGUCCCAGGUGCCGGGCAAGCCACGCGUCGCGGAUGUUAUGUUUGAAGGCCGCGAGGGCCUCCGCAUCCGGACAGUCAAUGAUUUGAUUUUUCUUAGUUAAGAACCGUGUCCAGAAUUGUCUGGUCGAUUCGUCUGGCUGCUGAAUUAUAUGGCUUAGGUCGUCAGCGUCUGGUGGUCGCACAUACGUGCCUUGGAAGUUAUCGAGGAAUGCGGCUUCCAGGUCUUCCCAACUCCCAAUUGACUCUGCUGGCAAGCUGUUAAGCCAAUGCCGGGCUGGUCCUUUAAGCUUGAGUGGGAGGUAUUUGAUGGCGUGAAGAUCAUCACGGUGGGCCAUGUGGAUAUGAAGGAGAUAGUCUUCGAUCCAAACCGCGGGGUCUGUUGUGCCAUCAUAAGAUUCAAUAUUCACGGGUUUAAACCCUUCGGGGAUUUGAUGAUCCAUUACUUCAUCUGUGAAGCAUAGUGGGUGUGUGGCGCCUAUGUAUUGGGCGAUAUCACGACGGCCCGGCCGGACUUACUGUGUCCGGCGCGACGGGUGUCGUCACGUAUCAUGGGGCGCCCACGCGAUCCAUAGAUCGAUCUUGAUUGUCUUGCCUUAUCCUCCAAUAUAUCUCGCAAGUCCAGAGCAUUCCCCUGUGGCCUUGUGCUUUUCGAGCGAUGCCGGGGUACGGUUCUAGUGGAGGGCCUAGAGGCCUCUCUAUCGCGGCCACGGGGUGGUCGGUCAGCCGUAUUGUCUGCUGGUGAUGCAGGUUCAUAUGCCUCCUCCUCUAAUCGGGGGAGAAGCUUGCGUUUAGGGUAGCUUUUGGAGGGGCGUUCGAGCUCAUGCUCUUCGGCCGCAAAGACUUCAGUCCAUCUGUCGGCUAGCAGAUAUUGGUCAGCUCUAAGCUGCUGCUGCUUUUUCUUGAGGCUGUUUGCCGUGGCCAUAAGCCUGCGUUUAAAACGCUCUUGUUCGACAGGAUCCUCAGGCACGACGAAUUCAUCGUCGUCGAGGCUUGCCUCGUCUCCGGAGGGAGGCAUGUAAUCCUCCACCUCUUCGUCUGCUGCUCUCUCAUGAGGGCUGGCAUCUCCGUCCUCCUAUGCUGAAUCUUGCUGAAGGGGGUUGUCUUCGGCACUGUCUGGGGUGUUAUCAUCUCCGGUGCCGGAAUCUCCAUUCUUGCUGUGGCGGGAUUUAGAGCGGCGCCGCUGAUGCCGGUGCUUGGGCUGUUUUUUGGAGGGGUCAUCCUCCGCUGUUCCUUCGCCAUUCCCAUCCUUUGGGAUAUCCACCAUGUAUAUGUCAUAUGAUGAGGUGGCUUUCCAGUGCCCAGUAGGCGCUGGUUCUUGGUCGUCUCCGGCAUCGUCGUCCAUACCGUCGAUGUCUUCGAAGUCGAAGUCUAGCUUGUCGGUUAGGUCGUCGAUAGUGGCUACUAAGUGGGUGGUGGGUGGGCUUUGAAUUUCUUCGUCGUCCGCAUCCCAACCGUCCUGAUCAUAGUCCGGCCAGGGCUCUCUUGAUAACGAGAGACACUCUAGCGAACUCAAGAUGUCGCUGAAAGGUGAGUGUUGAAAGAUGUCCGCAGCGGUGAAUUCCAUGAUCGGCGCCCAAUCGGAUUUGAUUGGAGGGGGCGCGGGAGGUUCGGAGUCCGGCACCUCGGAGUCACGAGCUUCAUGAGGGACAAGGUCAGUGUUCGGCUCCAUCGUCAUAGAGGUUGCAGCCCUCGAGGCGGUGUCUAGCCACCCGUCCUCGAUCUAUGCAGUCGGCUCCAAAUUGAUGAUCGGAGCGGACUCGUGUGCAGCCUCCAGGGCACUGUCCGGCUGCAGAGCUAAAUCAUGCCCAUCGUGACAGUGCGGCGCGCUUGGCUGUGGCUCGAAUCCAUCGAAGAUCAAGUCUCCGCGGAUGUCAGCCAUGAAGUUCAAACUUCCAAAUCUGACCUGACGGCCAGGGGCGUAGCUUUCGAUCUGCUCCAGAUGGCCAAGCGAAUUGGCCCGCAGUGCAAAGCCGCCGAAUACGAAGAUCUGUCCGGGGAGAAAGGUCUCACCCUGGACUGCGUCGUUGUUGAUGAUCGAAGAAGCCAUCGAGCCUAUCGGUGACGACACAGAGGAACUCUCAAUGAAAGCACCAAUGUCGGUGUCAAAACCGGCGGAUCUCGGGUAGGGGGUCCCAAACUGUGCGUCUAGGCGGAUGGUAACAGGAGACAAGGGACACGAUGUUUUACCCAGGUUCGGGCCCUCUUGAUGGAGGUAAAACCCUACGUCCUGCUUGAUUGAUAUUGACGAUGUGGGUAUUACAAGAGUAGAUCUACCACGAGAUCAAGGAGGCUAAACCCUAGAAGCUAGCCUAUGGUAUGAUUGUUGUUCGUCCUAUGGACUAAAGCCAUCCGGUUUAUAUAGACACCGGAGAGGGCUAGGGUUACACAGAGUUGGUUACAAUGGUAGGGGAUCUACAUAUUCGUAUUGCCAAGCUUGCCUUCCACGCCAAGGAAAGUCCCAUCCGGACACGGGACGAAGUCUUCAAUCUUGUAUCUUCAUAGUCUUGGAGUCCGGCCGAUGAUGAUAGUUCGGCUAUCCGGACACCCCCUAGUCCAGGACUCCCUCACUCUUCUUGGUAUGAAAUUGCCAACCUUCAUUAAGUCUUGCUUUCCGAGAGCCCUCAUUUCAUAAAAUUCCACUGGCCAGUUAAUUCAUUAUGCUUAUUUUUCAAUUGAAGUUGCAUCCGAACAUGUUUCUCAACAUGAAAAAGAAAGUCAUAUUGAGUUGUUAGAGAAAUCAAGUUAUAGCCAAAAUAGUGUACCAUCACAUCGUUUUGAUACUAAGCAGGAAAGUAUAGGAAUGCAAUGAGGAAAGACAGAUAAACACAUCGCCUUGUUUAAUACUUUCAAAGCAUCAGUUAAAUGACUAUUCUGCUCCAUUCGGAAAUACGCAAAAGUAUGUCCCUUAUUUGAGAUCUCUUAAGAUCAGCUAUUUGCUAAUAUGAUAAAGGUGGAUGCUAUACUUGUCUGAAAACAGAAACUAUGAUGAUUCACAUUACUGGCUUGCUUUCCUUUGGCGGGAAAGCUAACAGGUGAACUUGCUCAACAUAAAGUGGAAGGAAAGUGUAGUAGAGAUAUUACUCGCUGUCUGAGAAGAUCUACUUGAGACCUCUGAACCAACUUCAUUCCACAGGAACGAAAGCUGAAUGAAAGUACUCAAGCUUCAAACUCCUUGCUAACCGAUAAAAGGAAUCAAGCUUCAAGGACUAUAUGAUUAGCUCUUCCACAUCCUCUCCACCGUUCAUAAGGCUUUCAAGUAAUAUUGAGAUAUCUACAGAAAAGAGAAACAAACAUUCUUAGUUGGUCCACUAUUAGCGAGGCCUAAAGUCUUCACUUCAUCAAUCUAGGAAUAACACUAAAGUACCACCCCUCACUACAUUCUUGUUCACUGAACAUAGAUCUCUAAAGAACAGUGCACUGGUACACGAUAUGAUCUGUCGUCAUGACCCACGAACUGAGCUUCUCACUAAUCGAAAUGGUCCUCUCAGCAUGUUUCAAAGGAAGAAAGAGAUCGUUUUCUCAGGAUAUUAGUCACCCAAGCCAUAGGAAAGAAAGCCACUGGAGUGCGACGCUCAAACAUUGCUAGAUGAUGAUAGAGAGCAUAUAGGGCAUCCAACCAUAUUUGUCAUUUGCUUGAUAUUUAUACGGUACAAGAAGAAUCUGUAUUCGCAAUGAGAAAUAACAUAUGGAAUCUGCCACCCAAAACAAUAGGAAUAGGCUUGCUUGUCCGCUCUUAGAUCAGUUCAUAGCUCAGGCUCUGGUUUCGAGCAGAUGUGAAUGAAUUCAUUUCUACUCUACUUCGGGGAAUGGCCUGUCAUUUGUACAUUCAUAUUCGUAUUGGAUUGUUGGAAGGAAGAAGUUGGCAUUCUCGUUCGAAGGAAAGGUACUUGUUCGAGGAAAGAAAGCGUAUUAGUGCUCUGGGCUAAUCGGUCGGGUAGAAGCUCGUAACAAGAGCAAGCAUCGGAGAAAGUAUAUGUACUCGUUCUCGAGUCAGGAAAGCACUUGUUGGCAUUGGCGUCGGAAAGUAAAAGCAAGCAAGUAGUUUCGGCAUUGGCUGCUACUUCUUCCCCAUGGGCCAGGUUCUGUUCUUGAAAUAGCAUAAGUGAUCCUGCGAAACCGGCGAUGCCAGACCAAUCAAGCGUAUCAUGUCGACUUUCGAAUCCGGGACUUGACUAUCCUUAAGAUAGCAGUUCCCUAGUCAGGAAAGCGGAGUCACUAGAACGAUAUGAGAUACACGCACAUCUCGAUAAGCCAAUCCCAAUCCCUUCAACCCAACCUUUACCAAAAGGGGAAACUGUAACAACAAUGACCCUGGCUCGGAUUCCAAUAGGGCUUUUGCUUCUUCUGCUUGGCAAGGUCAAGUAUAUACACAGUCUAAAGCCACAAGAGAAGGUAUGAUAGGACAAGUGCCGUUCGAUGCGUUGUAACCAUUUCCAUGUUCUGGUCCGGGUUCUAGGUCUAAAAGAAGCAUUGGCUGUGUUGAUCUGUCUCCAGGUCGUCUAUUUGAAAGGGAAAGCCCAGUGUGUUCGUUCCUCUACUAUACGGAAUCCUUGAUAUCUUGCCUUGGUUCCGACUCUAAACCGUUCUAAACAGAUUCUUUCUGCAUACUGAUGUUGGCAGUUAUGCCUAGGUGAUAGAUGUAUGUUGCUGGAUUGGAAAGCUAUACGAUCCCUUUUAUUCAAUUAUGACCGCUGAGAGGACGGCGCAAUAGUAUCAAUUACCAUUCCACAAUUUUUGAACGGUAGAUUCGGAGAUAAUCGUAUAGAUGAUGAGUAAAUAUCCGAGAGUUGGCCAACAACUUGAAAUCUGUCAUAAUGGUCCCGUGGAGACACGCCUGAUAGAAACAUGCUGAGAAAUCAGUGUUCUAGCUGCCCGUAUACCAAUCUCCGUUCGAGUCGACAUUCUUAGUCAUCUAUGAGUGCUUGGCUCUACCUUUUAAGCUAGUCUAACAACAGACUCUGCUAUUACAGUUCCAUCUAAAGAUAGAGUAUUCUUUGAUCAGUUGAAUCAUAGUAGAAACUAUCUAAAACCAGGAUUCUAUUAGAAUAGGUUCUCAGUGCUCGUGAACGGCAGUACUAUUGUUUAUUUUACAUGUGGUGGAGUGACACGAGAUUGGGAUCACCACAAUGAACCGAAACAGAUUCACCUUAGCUUUGAAUGAGGGUCGUCUUAUAUACAUAACGAUUUGGAAUUUCCUGAAUAAUAAAAGGGAGAUUAUUUUCUCUAAGGUGAUAGAACUAACACAACCUCCAUUAGCAUGCCUCGGCAAAGCUUAUUAUGAUAUAUUGUUAAUGAAAAUGUCAAAGUAGCACUCUCUUUCCUCUACUCGCCCCUGGCGCCACCGCUAACCAGUAUUAUCAUAUAUAACUAGAUCACGUACAGAGUUUAUUACACUUAUAAUUAGAUCACGCACACAGUUUACACUAGAAUAAAUCUACGGUUCUGUUCAGUAUGAGAAAUAGAAGUAGAUGGACUUAGAGUAGAAACUUAUGACUAGGUCCUAUGACUAGAGUUAUGGGGAUGACUGUACAAGAAGGAUACGAUAAAUGGGCAACGUUUUUCGACCCUGGAAGAACAAACUGACAACAUCUGCUCCAUCUUUGAGUGGGAUCUGGAUGGUAUCGAACUAGACCUGCGAACGCGACGGAUUGAGAAGUAUCUAAAUCAGAUCCAUAAUCCUAAUAGCCGCUUUUGGCUACUCGUAGUUGAUCAACUAACCAAACUUUUCCCCCGAAUCAAAAAAAGCAAGUGUAGGUAGUAAGUAUCUAAUCUAAUAUGUCCACGAACUCAGUAGAAUCUCCGAAACCCACCUUAAUCCAUUUUAUAAGGAAUCUGUCUCCUUCCGUAAUCCAUUCCUCCAUCCCACACUCUUCUUAUAGUUAUGAGUGAAUCUGAAUCAAAAAAAAUAUAUACUAUACCGAAGACAAAGAGAAGACAUCAGGGAGCAGAGAGAGAAGAGAGCGGUUGUUGGAACAGCAAGCCCUACUUCCUUCACUGGGACACUGGCACCAAACAAAAACAAAACUAGACUGCCCGAACAACAAGUCCUGCCCCUUCCUCCCGGAUCUGCACGUUGAACAAACAAAGGAACUCCCCCUCAUCCGAAAAAAACGAGUAUUAUUUCUCAACUGGCAACAAAGAAACGCCUAGCAGAAGAAAGUAGUUAUUCUUGCAUCUCUGCUACUAGGAAAGUAAGUCAUUGAAAAAG